AUUGAACGCUGGCGGCAGGCCUAACACAUGCAAGUCGAGCGAGCGGCGGACGGGUGAGUAAUGUCUGGGAAACUGCCUGAUGGAGGGGGGUAACUACUGGAAACGGUAGCUAAUACCGCAUACCAUCAGAUGUGCCCAGAUGGGAUUAGCUAGUAGGUGGGGUAACGGCUCACCUAGGCGACGAUCCCUAGCUGGUCUGAGAGGAUGACCAGCCACACGGGAACUGAGAAACGGUCCAGACUCCUACGGGAGGAAGCAGUGGGGAAUAUUGCACAAUGGGCGAAAUCCUGAGGCAGCAAUGCCGGGUGUGUGAAGAAGGCCUUCGGGUUGUAAAGCAUUUUCAGCGGGGAGGCGGUACCCGCAGAAGAAGCACCGGCUAACUCCGUGCCAGCCGCCGCGGUAAUUC
rnacentral:rRNA from 1 species